ACUCAUUUCUUGUUUCCCCAUACUCCUCCCCCAAUUCUAUGCCAUUGCCAAAGAGGCAAAGACCAUCUCGAGCAGAAAAUUUCUGGUUUUCAUAUGCAAAUUCGAGUCCGAAUUCGACUGAAAGUUUAUCUUCCGUAGAGGGAAUUGAAGAAGGUUGUGUUACUUGCGUACAGAAAUUCCUUACUGCCAGGUUUUCGCCCAAGGAAAAUUUUAUGUCUAAGAGGCCAAUGUUGACUGAUGGAGGUAGCUAUUGGAACCGGGGAGAGAGGAGAAAGACCUUGAUCUUAGGUCGACUUCACCUGCCCAUAAGGUCAACCUUCUAAGGGAACUGAAGAAGGUUAUGUACGGAGAAAUUAGUUACUGCCAGGUUUUGCCUGAGAGAAAAAAUUGAUGCCGAAGAGGCCAAUGUUGACUGGUGGAUGUGGCUAUUGGAACCAGGGGGAGAGGAAAGGCCAGGAUAUUAGGACGACUUCACCUGAUGACUUUGACGAUCCCAAAUGGUCAGCCUUAUAAGAUUGCAGGAUGCAAAAUUGUUGUUCUGGCUACUCCCCCUGGAAAAUUUGGCAGCAUCUGCAAGGUUAUUACCUACCAAUCUACUCUAGUGGAUCAAUCUCUUGAUUUUGCUUGAAUCUUAGAGAUACCUCUUGAUGUAGAACAGUGAAGCGAUCAUAUCAAUAGGCAUAUCCGCUGUCCCAUCUGAAGAUCUGGUUAUUGCUGAUAAACAUCCAACCCGGUUCAUAUAGGACAGGGACGGUACUGGGGGGUGGCUUAGGGGUGCUCCAGCCACCCCCAAAUCUCUAAAAACUCAGAUUUUCAUGUACAUUUUCUGGAAAAUAAAUAAAUAGCCCGCCUAGGAAUUUCAGAUUUAACCCAAAGUAAUUGUAUUAGCCCACCUAGACUUUGGAUCCUGCUUCCGUCGCUGAUUUACUGUCUCAGGUACA